GGUGAGUAACACGUGGGAACGUACCCCUCGGUUCGGGACAACGCCUGGAAACGGGCGCUAAUACCGGAUACGCGCUGCGGCGGAAAGGUUCACGCCGAGGGAGCGGCCCGCGCCUGAUUAGGUAGUUGGUGGGGUAACGGCCCACCAAGCCGACGAUCAGUAGCUGGUCUGAGAGGAUGGCCAGCCACACUGGGACUGAGACACGGCCCAGACUCCUACGGGAGGCAGCAGUGGGGAAUAUUGGACAAUGGGCGCAAGCCUGAUCCAGCCAUGCCGCGUGGAUGACGAAGGCCCUAGGGUUGUAAAGUCCUUUCGCACGCGACGAUGAUGACGGUAGCGUGAGAAGAAGCCCCGCAACUUCGUGCCAGCAGCCGCGGUAAUACGAAGGGGGCUAGCGUUGUUCGGAAUCACUGGGCGUAAAGGGCGCGUAGGCGGCCACCCAAGUCAGGCGUGAAAGCCCCGGGCUCAACCUGGGAACCGCGCUUGAGACUGGUUGGCUCGAGUUCCGGAGAGGUGGGUGGAAUUCCCAGUGUAGAGGUGAAAUUCGUAGAUAUUGGGAAGAACACCGGUGGCGAAGGCGGCCCACUGGACGGACACUGACGCUGAGGCGCGAAAGCGUGGGGAGCAAACAG
rnacentral:rRNA from 1 species